rnacentral:rRNA from 1 species
GACGAACGCUGGCGGCGCGCCUAACACAUGCAAGUCGAACGGAGCUGAGAGAAGCUUGCUUUUCUUAGCUUAGUGGCGAACGGGUGAGUAACGCGUGAGUAACCUGCCCUGGAGUGGGGGACAACAGUUGGAAACGACUGCUAAUACCGCAUAAGCCCACGAUCCGGCAUCGGAUUGAGGGAAAAGGAUUUAUUCGCUUCAGGAUGGACUCGCGUCCACUUAGCUAGUUGGUGAGGUAACGGCCCACCAAGGCGACGAUUGGUAGCCGGACUGAGAGGUUGAACGGCCACACUGGGACUGAGACACGGCCCAGACUCCUACGGGAGGGAGCAGUGGGGGAUAGUGCACAAUGGCGGAAACCCUGAUGCAGCGACGCCGGGUGGAGGAAGAAGGUUUUCGGAAUGUAAACUCCUGUCGUUAGGGACGAUAAUGACGGUACCUAACAAGAAAGCACCGGCUAACUACGUG